UACGAAGGGGGCUAGCGUUGCUCGGAAUUACUGGGCGUAAAGGGCGCGUAGGCGGGUCGUUUAGUUAGAGGUGAAAGCCCAGGGCUCAACCCUGGAAUUGCCUUUAAUACUGGCGGCCUUGAGUAUGGCAGAGGUGUGUGGAACUCCGAGUGUAGAGGUGAAAUUCGUAGAUAUUCGGAAGAACACCAGUGGCGAAGGCGACACACUGGGCCAUUACUGACGCUGAGGCGCGAAAGCGUGGGGAGCAACAGG
rnacentral:rRNA from 1 species